rnacentral:rRNA from 1 species
UACGGAGGGUGCAAGCGUUAUCCGGAUUUAUUGGGUUUAAAGGGUGCGUAGGCGGGCAGGUAAGUCAGUGGUGAAAUCUCUGAGCUUAACUCGGAAACUGCCAUUGAUACUAUUUGUCUUGAAUAUUGUGGAGGUAAGCGGAAUAUGUCAUGUAGCGGUGAAAUGCUUAGAUAUGACAUAGAACACCAAUUGCGAAGGCAGCUUACUACACAAUGAUUGACGCUGAGGCACGAAAGCGUGGGGAUCAAACAGG